rnacentral:rRNA from 1 species
AGUAAAUUGGUUAAGUUAGAAAGGGCGCACGGUGGAUGCCUUGGCACUAGGAGCCGAAGAAGGACGGGACUAACACCGAUAUGCUUUGGGGAGCUGUACGUAAGCGUUGAUCCAGAGAUUUCCGAAUGGGGGAACCCACUAUCUUUAGUCGGAUAGUAUCCUUACGUGAAUACAUAGCGUGAGGAAGGCAGACCCAGGGAACUGAAACAUCUAAGUACCUGGAGGAAGAGAAAGAAAAAUCGAUUUCCUGAGUAGCGGCGAGCGAAACGGAAAGAGCCCAAACCAAGAAGCUUGCUUCUUGGGGUUGUAGGACACUCUAUACGGAGUUACAAAAGAAAGUUAUAA